GUCAGGAUGGCUGAGCAGUCUAAGGCGCUGCGUUCAGGUCGCAGUCUCCCAUGGAGGUGUGGGUUUGAAUCCCACUUCUGACA
rnacentral:tRNA from 2 species